UUUUGACUUUUUUUUUACUCUACUCUGAACCAACUAGUAUGGAAAUCACUAAAAAGAAUAUCUACAGACAGGAACAAACUGUCCUGAAAGAUGUAAAAAGAGACACCAACAGCUUGUAAUGAAGGCAUAGAACUAGAGCAACCAGGUUGAAGGAGUCCCGGAUAAAGAACCAAAAACUAAAGAAAAUUAUUCUAGAAGAAUAAGGCAUACCAUAAAGACAGAUCGCAAAAACGAUGGGGUUACACAAGGGAUUGUUUCAAAAAUCUAUUCAAUGUUUCUGGAACCGGAAACACUAAAGAAUAGACCUAGAAGAAGUCAUGGAAGCAUUGUUACAGAAGGGCAAGUCGCUUUGUUACUAAAAAAAGCCAGAAUAUAUCCGACAACAUCUCAUUCAGAGCUUCAGAUGCAACUUUUGUAAGUUAAAGAUGAAGCCCUGAGGCACGCCUUUCUCCAGCUGCAUUAUACUAGAGGAAUAGUCAACAAUAUUCCUACAUGUAUACAUUCAUAGGAAUCUAUCCUCUUAGUAGGAUUCUAU
rnacentral:lncRNA from 1 species